CUAGUUGGUGAGGUAAAGGCUUACCAAGGCGACGAUCAGUAGCUGGUCUGAGAGGACGACCAGCCCCACUGGGACUGAGACACGGCCCAGACUCCUACGGGAGGCAGCAGUGGGGAAUUUUGGACAAUGGGGGAAACCCUGAUCCUGCCAUGCCGCGUGAGUGAAGAAGGCCUUCGGGUUGUAAAGCUCUUUCAGCCGGAACGAAACGGUCACGGCUAAUACCUGUGACUACUGACGGUACCGGAAGAAGAAGCACCGGCUAACUACGUGCCAGCAGCCGCGGUAAUAUUUAGGGUGCGAGCGUUAAUCGGAAUUACUGGGCGUAAAGCGUGCGCAGGCGGUUUUGUAAGUCAGAUGUGAAAUCCCCGGGCUUAACCUGGGAACUGCGUUUGAAACUACAAGGCUAGAAGGG
rnacentral:rRNA from 1 species